UGUUUUCUCCUCCUGGACCACUGUCCGGUACUGCCUGUGUUCCACCACCUGAAUAUAGUUUUAUCUGAUAUUUUGACCAGUUUGCAGGUUAUUUUCCUUGAACAGCAAGAUGACAAGUCUGACCCCAGUUACGUUAACAUGGCUGGAAGUUGAAAGCCUGCAACGAGGAUUUCAUUUUCAACCAUUUCUGUAAAGCCUGGCUGUGAAGACGUUGGUCAGAUGAACGGCUGUGCCUGGGAGUCACAAGUCACAAAACUACUCGCCUGGGGAGAGCAGACACAGUAUUAGGGCCUCGGAGAAUGGGAGUAAAGAAACGGGGAAAAAAAAUAAGUAAAUUACAUUUCCGAAAUUAUGCAGCUGGUAUGUUACAAGCAUCAAUCCAGAGCCAGGAAGAGGAUCAAAGGUAGAACAUUGACAGGCCCCGCCCCCUUCUUCAUCCAAAUGGCCACUGCUCUGAUUGUCCAUUAUGCGAUCAACAGUUAACCCCAGGGGACAGCAUCUAGGAUUUCCUAGGAUGGCUUUAUCAGCCUCCUUCCCUGCAGACUGUGUGGUGCAUCUUGGGAAGAGAAACUCCAAUUAACUACCAAAAGGAAAUAGUACACUAAGGGGGAGACACAUCUCAUGAUGGAAGGAAUGUAGAAGCCACAAAUGAUUCUGUUAGUGAGGGAAAUGCCAGCAUUCUGUGCUCCCUGAAAACCCCAGAAGAUGGCACCUUCCACAU